rnacentral:rRNA from 1 species
AUUGAACGCUGGCGACAGGCUUAACACAUGCAAGUCGAGCGGAGAGAGGUAGCUUGCUACUGAUCUUAGCGGCGGACGGGUGAGUAAUGCUUAGGAAUCUGCCUAUUAGUGGGGGACAACAUUUCGAAAGGAAUGCUAAUACCGCAUACGUCCUACGGGAGAAAGCAGGGGAUCUUCGGACCUUGCGCUAAUAGAUGAGCCUAAGUCGGAUUAGCUAGUUGGUGGGGUAAAGGCCUACCAAGGCGACGAUCUGUAGCGGGUCUGAGAGGAUGAUCCGCCCAACUGGGACUGAAACACGGCCCAGACUCCUACGGGAGGCAGCAGUGGGGAAUAUUGGACAAUGGGCGCAAGCCUGAUCCAGCCAUGCCGCGUGUGUGAAGAAGGCCUUAUGGUUGUAAAGCACUUUAAGCGAGGAGGAGGCUACUUUAGUUAAUACCUAGAGAUAGUGGACGUUACUCGCAGAAUAAGCACCGGCUAACUCUGUGCCAGCCGCCGCGGUAAGAC